CUGAAAGGUUAAAUACUUUGGAGUCAUUGGGAGUCUCAGAGAACACUGUAACAUCAAAAAGUCCCUAAUCUGAGAGAGAUGCUUAUGAGAACAGCAAAACCGCUGAGAGCAGUCUGGGCAAUGUGAGGAGGGAUAACUCGACACAGGAAGACUGUUCUUGCAGCAAUGUUCAAGACACUGAAGAAAGUUCAAGGCACUGAUGGCAUAGAAUCCCAACUCUGCCCUCCACCUGAAUCAAAUGGUGAUGUGCUCUAUUGCCUGCAAUAAACUGUGAUAUAUUUGUUUAUAUCGAAUAUAGCCCUGUAAAAGAUACCUAGAGGAAGAUGGAAGUUUGCUUCAUUUCUUCCUUCCUGAGGAACUGGCAAGAUUUUAUGUCUGGUAGAAUUAAGCAAACUUUCCCAACGCUGAAUCUCAUGCUGUUCUCAUUUAACUUAAUCACUUAGGGGUUUCUGCUGCUAUCCGCAGGCUCUUCCUUGCUAAAUUUUGGAUGCGGCUUAUGUAUUUCCUCAAAUCUGUAUUAAUUGAGAGAUGGAAGCUAAAUAUAACACUUCCUUGUAGCAUCUCUCUGAAAAACUCUCCCUUUCCUCAUGAAUUGCUGCAGCACUUUGGCAUUCUCGACUGGAUCUAAUGUUUCAACCUUCUCUGCAGGAAUCAAUGAAUAUCCAUCUGCUUCCCAGUAAGGAGAAAGGGGUUGAAAUGGCUAAAGUACCUUGGCUGGAAAAAGUCUUCCUCCUGUUUGGAAGUAAACAUACUGCUGUCUUCUUGGAAGACUGUGAAGUAUAAAGAAUGUUUAUGUGCAGGUCUAGCCGUUCCAAGUACCCAAGUGUUGGUUUAGACUCACCUGGGUUACCAUCCAACUCUCAUUGGCUGAGAAAGUUGCCGCACCUGAUUUGUAAGUUUCCCUGUUGAAGUCAAUAGCAGGGGCAGCUCAGCCAGCCAGCACUGGAUUUUAUCUAGCCAGAAGUAGCAAAGCAGCUCUUAUUUGAAAAACCACUGGGUUCUGAGUUCAUUACUCCAGGAAAAACUGUUCUAUCCUGUGGCACAGUGAACCUUGCUUCAAAGCAGACCUAGCAGCUCAAGAGUCCAGGCGGCU
rnacentral:lncRNA from 13 species